rnacentral:rRNA from 1 species
GUGGGGAAUUUUGGACAAUGGGCGCAAGCCUGAUCCAGCAAUGCCGCGUGCAGGAAGAAGGCCUUCGGGUUGUAAACUGCUUUUGUACGGAACGAAACGGUCCUGGUUAAUACCUGGGGCUAAUGACGGUACCGUAAGAAUAAGCACCGGCUAACUACGUGCCAGCAGCCGCGGUAAUACGUAGGGUGCAAGCGUUAAUCGGAAUUACUGGGCGUAAAGCGUGCGCAGGCGGUUUUGUAAGACAGGCGUGAAAUCCCCGGGCUCAACCUGGGAAUUGCGCUUGUGACUGCAAGGCUGGAGUGCGGCAGAGGGGGAUGGAAUUCCGCGUGUAGCAGUGAAAUGCGUAGAUAUGCGGAGGAACACCGAUGGCGAAGGCAAUCCCCUGGGCCUGCACUGACGCUCAUGCACGAAAGCGUGGGGAGCAAACAGGAUUAGAUACCCUUGUAGUCC